rnacentral:rRNA from 1 species
CCUACGGGGAGCAGCAGUGGGGAAUAUUGGACAAUGGGCGAAAGCCUGAUCCAGCCAUGCCGCGUGUGUGAAGAAGGCCUUCGGGUUGUAAAGCACUUUCAGUGGGGAAGAAAGCCUUGGGGCUAAUACCCUCGAGGAAGGACAUCACCCACAGAAGAAGCACCGGCUAACUCCGUGCCAGCAGCCGCGGUAAUACGGAGGGUGCGAGCGUUAAUCGGAAUUACUGGGCGUAAAGCGCGCGUAGGCGGUCUGAUAAGCCGGUUGUGAAAGCCCCGGGCUCAACCUGGGAACGGCAUCCGGAACUGUCAGGCUAGAGUGCAGGAGAGGAAGGUAGAAUUCCCGGUGUAGCGGUGAAAUGCGUAGAGAUCGGGAGGAAUACCAGUGGCGAAGGCGGCCUUUUGGACUGACACUGACGCUGAGGUGCGAAAGCGUGGGUAGCAAACAGGAUUAGAUACCCGGGUAGUC